AAUGCAAUGUGAUUAGCUGGCCUUCUGCUCUGACCACCGUGACUUCCCUGCCUGAAACCAUGUCUUCCCCUCCAUGAUACAAGUCACAAGAUGAAAUAAAUCCUUCCUUCCCUAAAAUGGGUAUUUUUGUCUCAUCAACAAGAAAGUUAACUUAUGUAAAGCUGGCUCUAGGGAAGUCAUUAGGAUUUGAUGAGGUCAUGAGACUAAGGUCCUGGUGAUGGUAGUAGUGGCUUUUGUAGAAGGAAAGGAGGAGGAGAAGGAGAAGGAAGAAGAGGAGGAGGAGGAGGAAAAGGAAGAGGAAAAGGAAGAGGAGGAGGAAGAGGAGGAGGAGGAGGAAAAGGAAGAGGAGGAGGAAGAGGAGGAGGAAGAGGAGGAGGAUCCAUGCUGUCUCACCACAUUGCCCCCUGGUUAUACUAUGAUGUUUCAGAUGAGUCUUCAUCAGA
rnacentral:lncRNA from 1 species